CUGCCCGCCUUAUGCUCACAUGGAGCCCUCAUCACUCACCCAGGAGGGCUGUCUGGGGGUGGGUCCGAGUGUGUCUCCCUCUGGAGAUGGACCUCGAGGGAGGCCGCUCCCUG